rnacentral:rRNA from 1 species
AAUGGGGAAACCCAGUGUGUUUCGACACACUAUCAUUAACUGAAUCCAUAGGUUAAUGAGGCGAACCGGGGGAACUGAAACAUCUAAGUACCCCGAGGAAAAGAAAUCAACCGAGAUUCCCCCAGUAGCGGCGAGCGAACGGGGAGGAGCCCAGAGCCUGAAUCAGUGUGUGUGUUAGUGGAAGCGUCUGGAAAGGCGCGCGAUACAGGGUGACAGCCCCGUACACAAAAAUGCACAUAUUGUGAGCUCGAUGAGUAGGGCGGGACACGUGGUAUCCUGUCUGAAUAUGGGGGGACCAUCCUCCAAGGCUAAAUACUCCUGACUGACCGAUAGUGAACCAGUACCGUGAGGGAAAGGCGAAAAGAACCCCGGCGAGGGGAGUGAAAAAGAACCUGAAACCGUGUACGUACAAGCAGUGGGAGCCUCUUAAUGGGGUGACUGCGUACCUUUUGUAUAAUGGGUCAGCGACUUAUAUUCUGUAGCAAGGUUAACCGAAUAGGGGAGCCGAAGGGAAACCGAGUCUUAACUGGGCGUUAAG